AACCGGAGUGGCGCAAGGGUGCGUAACACGUGGGUAAUUGCCAUGAAGUUGGGAUAACUCGCUGAAAGGCGAGCUAAUACCGGAUGUGACUGUCGGGAGGCAUCUACCUGACAGUUAAAGCUGGGGACCGAAAGGCCUGACGCUUCAUGAUGAACCCGCGGCCUAUCAGCUAGUUGGUGAGGUAACGGCCCACCAAGGCUAAGACGGGUAGCUGGUCUGAGAGGACGACCAGCCACACUGGAACUGAGACACGGUCCAGACACCUACGGGUGGCAGCAGUCGAGAAUUUUUCACAAUGGGGGAAACCCUGAUGGAGCGACGCCGCGUGGGGAUGAAUGGCCUUCGGCCCGUAAACCCCUGUCAUUUGCGAACAAACCUUGUCUGGUAACAUCAGAUGAGCUGAUUGUAGCGAAAGAGGAAGGGACGGCUAACUCUGUGCCAGCAGCAGC
rnacentral:rRNA from 1 species